CCUUGCCCUGUACACACAGACAUUCCUGUGGCCUGUUGUUGCCUUAAUGUCUGAAGCUCUCAUAUCUCUGCCUGCACAGAUCGUUUUGAAAACUGAAUGGGAACCGGGGCAUCUCUUUGUCUGCAACCUUAUCAGCUGUCUCCUCUGUAAGCUCCUCAAUUAGUGAGCUACUGCAGAGAAGUGAGAAAAGGACCAUCCGUGGAAUGGCAUUCCUGAUAAAGAGCAGCAUUUUGUUGGUCUCCUCCACUUCCAGCGAUUGAUGAAACUUAUCUUGAAUUUGCUUCAGUCCACUUUAAAGCUUGUGGUGGUGACUGCUGAAAUACUUUGUAAUCCCUACCUGCUUAUUCUUAGAUUAUGAUGGAAAAUGUGCUGACCAGCCUUUGCUUUCGUUUUGUCAACUACAACCAAAAGGAGAUACUGGAAUACUUGUUCAAGCUGUUCUAAGGCCUCCUUGAACUGUAGAUGAGAAGUGUGUGACUAGUCUCAUUCACACCAGCUGAGGACUGAGAGCUCCCCAGGAAUUUUUCUUAAAAUAAACCAAAAGCCAACAACACUGUCUUCAAUGGAGAGAUGCGUUGUAGAGAAAACGGAUAUUCAGUGAUAGAAAAUGAAUCAGAAGAACGAACUUCAGAAAGGGUGGGAAGGACGGGAGAGAAAAAUGAAGUGAACUUUAAGUUGAGACAUGGGCUUCCAAAGUUGAAAGCAGCCAUUGAGGUUCAGUCUCAUGCUGGUGUGGGUGAAGAGCGGCUCUGCGGACCUGAUCAGGCACACGGACUCUCGGCUUCAUCAGAGACCGUCCCCAGCCUCAGUACCUGGGUGCCAGACACACCAAUGGGCUGCCGCUGCCCUGCCCUAUCACAUCAGCUUCCUGAGCACAGCACUGCCUUGCUGGCAUAGGGCUCCCUUUAACAUCUCAGGAAGACAACAAUUUCUUCUCAGGAUUUGAGCUACACAAGUCACAAGGAGUGGUGGUCUUCUUUUCAAGUCCUCAUUUCUGGAAGCUGACGGGGCUUCUACUACAUGUAGAUGAAACUGGCUGCUGGGGAGACCACAUGAUGCAGGGAUAGCAUGAAGAAAAAUAUCCUAAGGUUGAUUAACCAACAUCUCAGAGAGUUCCGCAGAUCCAGACAACUGGAUGGGUCUUAUCUGGGGACCAGGAGGAGAAUAUAAGAGAAGCAGGUGCGUAAUGCUAAACACCUGCAGGAUGCCUUGGACAGAAGAUCUCUGAACACAAACCUGGAAACAAUGCAGAAGAACGGAGGCAGCAGAGGUGUGAUAAGACUAGGACCAAGAUGGAGAAAAACAAGACCAGAGUUUCAGAGUUCUUCAGGACACCACAUCCUCAUGACCCUGCAGAAGAAACUGGAAAAACACCACUUCAACUUGUAAUUGGAUACAAGCGCUGCCUUGACGGCCCUGGAAGCCAAGAAUUUUCCACGCGAUGGAGCCUCCCCUAUGUUCCCUGCUGGUGGACUUUGACCACAGUAUGAAGUGAUCUCUUCUAGGAAAGGAGACAGCUGCUGAGGUUCUGCUCCUGCCUGGCCCUUCUGCUCACACCACCUGCAGGGGUAAGGGCAGCGGCAGAAGAGUUUUAUGGAGACCAGGAUGUGGACAGAGACCUCCGACGCCUUGACACCAUAGGCCACAAAACACCUAACAACCUGUUGUACGUAUUACUCGAGGGUGCCUAGACCAAUUAAGCACCUCUAGAGAUGGCUUAGCAUUUUUAUUUUCCACUGGUCACUGCUGGAAUGGCACUCAGGGCUAGGUUUGGCUGCAGUCCAUCCCAGGGCCACCACUGGUAGCUUAGCUGCUUUUCUUUCCACAUCAAUGACACGUAACUGACUGACAACAUAUUCAAAAGAUGAAAUCUGUCUUGAUUUUAAGACUUCAGAGGAGUCAUCAGUUUUUAUUCCCGUGAUGAAUUGCUUUCACUAUUUAAAAAACAAACAAAACCAACCAAACAAAAAGAGCAUCUUGUGUCAUAUCUGCAUCGAAGGAGCUAUUUUCAUUUUAAAGUUCUUGAAGCUAUUGUUAUUUUAAAGGGGAACUUGACUACUUCUUUAUAAAAAGCAAGACAACAAUGAGGUACAUAUUUUUACCUUGAUAUCCCAUUAUCUAUCUGAUAAGACACGACAAAAAUGUUUUCUUUAGAGACCCUACAGCCCAUACUUAGGCACAGUGAAGAAAUUAAUGGCAGCCUUUCCUUUGAAUUCACUUGCAAAGGGCUUCAGCAUUUUACACCGUGGAGUUUUUGGACCUCAGCAUUUUAAACCAUAGAGUUUUCUCUUUAAGUCACAGUGUAGUACUACAUACUUGCUUAGUCUUCAUGAAUAUUUUGCUCUCACUUCACUAAAUGUUAAUUUUUAUGAGAUAUUUGUGGCUUUAAAGGCACAGCACUGGUUCUCCGUGUGCACCAGUCACAUUUCCUUCCAUCUGAAAACAGUCCCACCCAAGAGUUCUGGAGACCAUCAUCAACGUCCCUGUUCUGACAGGGAUACACUAAUUUCUAAGCAAAUACACGAAAAAGAAAGAUGUUAGUCAUACGUUAUUAUGUUCACACAAGUGGCACUUCUAGUUAAAGAAUACAUUCUAACUAUGUUAUUGUUCAGAUCGUGCACACGUUUAACUUCCCAGAGUAAAGUGUACCUUAAUUAGCCAGCUGUAAUCCAAAUUAUAGUUUCUCACUCGUUAAAGCUGUUAAAAUACCUUAAAUCAGCUGCCUGUGUCUGAAAUAAUAAUGAAAAUAACUGCAUUUGCAAAAAUUAUCUGAAUGCAAGCAGGCUAUAAAUAGAGAGGAGGUGGAUUGGACAGUCUGCAGAUCCUGAGUUGGAAUAAAAACAUCAUACUUAAGCCAAAAACAUGACAACCAAUAUUUUCUGUUAUAAAAACAUUUGAGAUUAAUUUAGAUUUUUUUUUUUUAAUGAAAGCUGUCUGAGAUUGAAAUCGAGAGCAAAGUUCUCUGUUUAUUUACAAGCCAGCACUGAUACCUGAGGCAUAAAGCAAGGCACCUUCAGAGCAAUGCCAGCAAACUUUUGACUAUAUGGGAAAAUCCUCCUUGCCACAGGACAAGCACGACGGUGUACUUGUGUCCUCUCAGCAUAACCCCCACCUUGAUAACACUUGUCAUCUGAGCAGAUUGCAUGACAGGUUUGUGAAGUGGAUUACUACUGUCCACUAGAGGCUGUAAUGAGACCAACAAUGUCAUUUUAUGACAAAUUGAAGACUUAGACUGCAAUGAUCGAUAAUUGUAAAAUUACUGUUCACAUGCAAUGCGCCGUCAAUCACUGGAUUUCCCUGAAUGUGGAUGUUAAAAAAAAAAAUCCAACUUAUGUUUCCUCUUAUUCUCCCAUUUUUCACAGAUACUAAUUAGAUAAAGCAUGCAUGUUGAUGGCACAACAUCAGUGUAUUGAAAGACAGCUUCUCCUAGACAACGUGCCUCCUGCAUGUCAAGCUGAUGACUGUCUUUUGGUCAAGAACACAUUCAGCUGGGAGUCCGACCAGUUUCAGCAUGUUACUGGCAGGAGGCACUGCUCGAGUGGGUUCCUGUGUCCAACUCACACCGUGGUGCUGGAGCCCUGAUCUGUACGUACUGCACUGCCACAGUGCCUCUCUCCAUUCUUCUUGUCAGAACUGUCCUGGUCUGGUCUGCAAUUGUGUCUAUUUUCUGUAGCAAAUGACUUUCACCUCUGGCAUAGUUCUGCACGUCUGGGUCAAUAGACUGCACUGCCUUGACAGACAAUGAGGGACCUUUGUCCCGGCCGUGGCAGCACAUGAGAUCUCACUCAGGUGCUGCUUCCCACCCUUGGUGCCCCCACCGUACUGCGUGCUGCUCACUGUGGGGGGAACGCUUUGAGCCCUGCCAUAGGCCCUCAGAAGAGGAACUGCAGAGGUAUAAUGGCAUCUUGUGAUGUGGAAGUGCAUCCUGCGUGCCAGGCAAUGUCAGCGAAGGCACCGUCCCCUUAUCUCUGUUAUGUAACCAACAUCAAAACGGAGGUGAGUUUGUGAACCUGAUGUGGCUGGCUGCAGUUACGGCACUUCCCCAGCACAUGGGCAGAGGCUGCCUGCUGGGAAAAAAUACUGCUUUGGUUUACAAUUGACUUACACUUUAGGGUUCUCUUCCAACUCUGAAGCAGAAACAUGGACAAAGACUUAAAAGGCCAGAGGCUGGUUGAUGGCAAAAAGUGUGGGUCCUGCGGCAAACACCGUAGCCACAGGACGGAGGAACACAUAAGCCUCUUACACGAGCCUGCCACAGAAGGGAAAGUUGCCCAAAGCUUGCUUCAGCAUGAAUGUGGCUUCUCUUCCACAGCAUGUGCCACACCUCUUGGCAAGGUGGAGGUUCAAGAAGGAAAGAUUCCUUUCUCCUGAGGUAACAGGAGUACAACUGGAAUAAAAAAGGUGGCAGGAGGGAGAAUGCCGCGUCUGCAGAACAGAACCCCGAGGAUGGGGUGGCAGCUCCUGUGGGGCCUUCACUUGAUUUCCAGCUGUCUCCAGCCUCUGCCUCUCUCCCAUGGUUCCUUUCAUUAAAUCAAUGAACCUUGCAUUAGCUGGGUGAGGAUCAUUUUGCUGUCUGCCACACGGCUGUAGAUGCACCAUCUCGUUGCUGAGUGGCACGUUUGUCCAGACAUCCGGGCCUGCUGCUGUCCCCAGAGCACUCUGAAACAGGCAAUCACUUUGGGUUGCAUAGCAAACCUGAUCUGGAGAGGCAGAAGUUGCAUUGUUAAAAUAUCCUUACGCUCAUAAAGCUAGUCUAUAUGUCAGUACCAACUCUCAGUCAAGAGCUGUGCAGAUUACCAUGUUGUUAGCACAUUCUCUAGGAAAUACAGAGGAUGAGUACAGUCAUUCA